rnacentral:rRNA from 1 species
UGGGGAAUCUUGGACAAUGGGGGCAACCCUGAUCCAGCCAUGCCGCGUGAGUGAUGAAGGCCUUAGGGUCGUAAAGCUCUUUCGCCUGUGAAGAUAAUGACGGUAGCAGGUAAAGAAACCCCGGCUAACUCCGUGCCAGCAGCCGCGGUAAUACGGAGGGGGUUAGCGUUGUUCGGAAUUACUGGGCGUAAAGCGCACGUAGGCGGACCAGAAAGUUGGGGGUGAAAUCCCGGGGGCUCAACCCCGGAACUGCCUCCAAAACUAUUGGUCUAGAGUUCGAGAGAGGUGAGUGGAAUUCCAAGUGUAGAGGUGAAAUUCGUAGAUAUUUGGAGGAACACCAGUGGCGAAGGCGGCUCACUGGCUCGAUACUGACGCUGAGGUGCGAAAGUGUGGGGAGCAAACAGGAUUAGAUACCCUGGUAGUCCACACCGUAAACGAUGAAUGCCAGUCGUCGGGUAGCAUGCUAUUCGGUGACACACCUAACGGAUUAAGCAUUCCGCCUGGGGAGUACGGUCGCAAGAUUAAAAC